UGGGGAAUAUUGCACAAUGGAGGGAACUCUGAUGCAGCGACGCCGCGUGAACGAAGAAGGCUUUCGAGCCGUAAAGUUCUUCUAUAUGGGAAGAUAAUGACGGUACCAUAAGAAAAAGCCUCGGCUAACUACGUGCCAGCAGCCGCGGUAAUACGUAGGGGGCUAGCGUUGUCCGGAAUCACUGGGCGUAAAGGGUUCGCAGGCGGAAAUGCAAGUCAGGUGUAAAAGGCAGUAGCUUAACUACUGUAAGCAUUUGAAACUGCAUAUCUUGAGAAGGGUAGAGGUAAGUGGAAUUUUUAGUGUAGCGGUGAAAUGCGUAGAUAUUAAAAAGAAUACCGGUGGCGAAGGCGGCUUACUGGGCUCAUUCUGACGCUGAGGAACGAAAGCGUGGGUAGCAAACAGG
rnacentral:rRNA from 1 species